rnacentral:lncRNA from 1 species
AGGAGCUCUCUAGCGUGCCAGCCGCCCCCCUCCUCCUGCUUGCUAUUUCGGAACCGUCACUGGUGAUAUAAAUAGCUCUUCUCCCACGGCCUGAAGCUGCUGCCAGGCUAUUUUUGGUUCUGCACAGUUAAAAAUAGUUUCAUGGAGGUGGGAGGCAAGAGGAGUGGGAGCUGGCCUAGGGAGAGGAGACAUUGGGGGCAUACAGAGCUUCUCAACUUGAAUCAGAGUAGUCGAACUAAGAUGAUCCCUUCCCUACCCCCUCCCUUGCCCCUUUCUAGAACCUUCUCCCCUUCCAACGUUCCUUAUCCCUAGUCCAUCCUCCUGGAAAAAUCCAAGGAUUCCUCCCUUGAGCCCAAUUUUCUUUCCAAGCUUAACUAAUUCCUAGAACCGAGGAGUCUUGACAGCCACACCUGUAAAUAGCCCAUAUGUAUUCUCAAUGAGGAGGAUGACAGCAUCGGGAUGCCAUUCUCAUCUAUCCCGAGGCCCAGCUCGGCUUUGAUGUCACAGGCAAACCACGACCAUUCUGAGUGGGAAGGCAACAUUCAGCACCACGGACAGCGACAACAUCCCCCCCCCCCCUCCCCCUUCCAGGUCUGCUUAAAUUGCUUGGAGACCAGCUGUGGACCCAGCAGAGAGAUGCAACUUAUUGUGGAGGAGAUAUCAAGAACGUCUCCUGGCCAGGGCUUAAAGCACCUGUCUGUGAGGAAGACAGGGCAGAGAUGAACCCCAGAGAUAGAAUGGUUGUCUAGCAUACACAGAGCCCUGGUUUCAUCCUCAGCUUUGGGAAACUAAUCUAGAAACUCCAUCUUGGAUUUGCAUAUGGAAAGAGAAUCCAAAAACCAAGGGAAGAGAAUGGAACAGGGAGUGGUGGUGUUGAGUGGGGAUAUCAGAGUUAAUAAGGAUGAAACAUGCCAGAGAGAAAUACAUCCUGAAGAAACCAUUUCUGUCACCCAUAAGGUUGGAAACAGUGUCUUACAGACACACACCAUUUUCUCCAUCUCAGCUAUACCACUGGCUGGCUACAUGGUUGUAUAUGUAGAUGCUUUCUAUCUGAACUAAAAUUGUACAAAAUAUUAGGAUAGGGGCUCUACAACCAUGAACCUCUCCCCGCCCCUCCCCGGCAUUACUAGGGAGUGCACUCAAGUCUUGAGCAUGAUAGAAGUGUGAACUCCUACUAAGCCAUGGCCCUGGUCACCAAAGUACCCUCUUCCCAUACCCCCUGCUUUUCACUCCACGUUGCCUCUCUUGCUAUCACCCCUUUCCAUGAAGAACAGGGGUUUCUUGACCACAAACUUUUCUCCUUGGUGUCAAAGUUCAUCUCUAACUUUCUGCAGCCAGUUCUGUCCCUCUCUCCCAAUUUUUUUUUGUUUUUUGUUCUGUUUGUUUGUGUGUUUUUGUUUUUUGAGACAGGGUUUCUCUGUGUAGCCUUGGCUGUCCUGGAACUCACUUUGUAGACCAGGCUGGCCUCGAACUCAGAAAUCUGCUUGCCUCUGCCUCCCAAGUGCUGGGAUUAAAGGCGUGUGCCACCACGCCCGGCUUCCCUCAACUUUUUAAAUGGUCUUGUUUUUCAGGCUCUAAAAGUGCUUUUAUAUGUUCCUACUCUAAAUGAAAUUUUGGGCAAAAAGUUUCUCUAGUCCUUUGUGAAAUGGUUGUGGGAUAAAAAAAGGGCUCCCAUACCCUGUGUAGACAGCAAUCGCAUGUAAGUGACUGAAGAAAGGUGUGUGUGGGGGUGUGUGUCUGGAGGGGUGGGGUGAUGC